CGAACGCUGGCGGCGUGCUUAACACAUGCAAGUCGAACGGAAAGGCCCUGCUUUUGUGGGGUGCUCGAGUGGCGAACGGGUGAGUAACACGUGAGUAACCUGCCCUUGACUUUGGGAUAACUUCAGGAAACUGGGGCUAAUACCGGAUAGGAGCUCCUGCUGCAUGGUGGGGGUUGGAAAGUUUCGGCGGUUGGGGAUGGACUCGCGGCUUAUCAGCCUGUUGGUGGGGUAGUGGCUUACCAAGGCUUUGACGGGUAGCCGGCCUGAGAGGGUGACCGGCCACAUUGGGACUGAGAUACGGCCCAGACUCCUACGGGAGGCAGCAGUGGGGAAUAUUGCACAAUGGGCGGAAGCCUGAUGCAGCAACGCCGCGUGCGGGAUGACGGCCUUCGGGCUGUAAACCGCUUUCGCCUGUGACGAAGCGUGAGUGACGGUAAUGGGUAAAGAAGCACCGGCUAACUACGUG
rnacentral:rRNA from 1 species